rnacentral:lncRNA from 10 species
UGGGAUUCCUAGCCAGUCCUCAAUACUGUCCCACCUCCCCGCUUUACUUUUCUCACCCAGGAAACCAGGAUAACAACAGAAUCUACUCCCAGCAGUGUUGUGAGGAUUUGGAGCAUUGCGUCAGGGAAAGCCCGUUGCUGAGUGCCUGGCACGUGGGGAAGAGUGGGUGGAAGAACAUGCUUCCUCUCAUCACUGUGCCCCCAUCUGAGAGCUUUCAGGACAUCAAGAAUUCAAGAGGGGAUGAAGUCCACGCUGCUAACACCAUCACAUUGUAUUUGAAAACACAAUCUUUAGAGGAAAAAAAUAACUUCAGAUGGAUAUAUGAUUAUGUAAGAAAUCAGGCUGGCCGUGGUGGCUCA